rnacentral:rRNA from 1 species
UACGAAGGGGGCUAGCGUUGUUCGGAAUCAUUGGGCGUAAAGCGCACGUAGGCGGCCUCGCAAGUCGGAUGUGAAAUCCCUCGGCUCAACCGAGGACGUGCAUACGAAACUGCGGAGCUUGAGUGCUGAAGAGGAUCGCGGAAUUCCCGGUGUAGAGGUGAAAUUCGUAGAUAUCGGGAGGAACACCAGUGGCGAAGGCGGCGAUCUGGGCAGACACUGACGCUGAGGUGCGAAAGCGUGGGGAGCGAACAGG